rnacentral:rRNA from 1 species
UACGAAGGGGGCUAGCGUUGCUCGGAAUUACUGGGCGUAAAGCGCACGUAGGCGGUCUUUUAAGUCGGGGGUGAAAUCCUGGAGCUCAACUCCAGAACUGCCUUCGAUACUGGAAGACUUGAGUCCGGGAGAGGUGAGUGGAACUGCGAGUGUAGAGGUGAAAUUCGUAGAUAUCAGGAGGAACACCGGUGGCGAAGGCGGGUCUCUGGGCAGUAACUGACGCUGAGGAGCGAAAGCGUGGGGAGCGAACAGG